AGAGUUUGAUUAUGGCUCAGGACGAACGCUGGCGGCGUGCUUAACACAUGCAAGUUGAACGAAGCAAUCUUAAAAGUUUACUUUUGAGAUUGACUUAGUAGCGGACGGGUGAGUAACGCGUGAGUAACCUACCUUUGUGAGGGGGACAACAGCUGGAAACGGCUGCUAAUACCGCAUAAGGCCACAGCAUUGAGUGAUGCAGUGGUAAAAGAUUUAUCGCACAAAGAUGGACUCGCGUCCCAUUAGCUAGUUGGUGAGGUAACGGCCCACCAAGGCAACGAUGGGUAGCCGACCUGAGAGGGUGAUCGGCCACACUGGAACUGAGACACGGUCCAGACUCCUACGGGAGGCAGCAGUGGGGAAUAUUGGGCAAUGGGCGAAAGCCUGACCCAGCAACGCCGCGUGAGGGAAGAAUGUCUUCGGAUUGUAAACCUCUGUCCUUGGGGACGAAAAAAAUGACGGUACCCAAGGAGGAAGCUCCGGCUAACUACGUGCCAGCAGCCGCGGUAAUACGUAGGGAGCAAGCGUUGUCCGGAAUUAUUGGGCGUAAAGGGUGCGUAGGCGGUUUAUCAAGUCAGAUGUGAAAUCCCCGGGCUUAACUCGGGACGUGCAUUUGAAACUGAUAGACUUGAGUAAAGAAGAGGUAAGUGGAAUUCCUAGUGUAGCGGUGAAAUGCGUAGAUAUUAGGAGGAACACCAGUGGCGAAGGCGACUUACUGGUCUUUUACUGACGCUGAGGCACGAAAGCGUGGGGAGCAAACAGGAUUAGAUACCCUGGUAGUCCACGCUGUAAACGAUGGAUACUAGGUGUGGGGGACAUACAACCUCUGUG
rnacentral:rRNA from 1 species